rnacentral:rRNA from 1 species
ACCCGCUGAACUUAAGCAUAUCAAUAAGCGGAGGAAAAGAAACUAACCAGGAUUCCCCUAGUAACGGCGAGCGAACCGGGAGUAGCCCAACGUGAAAAUCUCCAGCCCUCGGCUGGCGAAUUGUAGUCUAGAGAAGCGUUCUCUGGGCGUCGGUGUGCCCAAGUCCCCUGGAAUGGGGCGUCAGAGAGGGUGAGAACCCCGUCGGGUGCGC